UGGGGAAUAUUGCACAAUGGGGGAAACCCUGAUGCAGCGACGCCGCGUGAGCGAAGAAGGUUUUCGAAUCGUAAAGCUCUGUCCUAUGAGAAGAUAAUGACGGUAUCAUAGGAGGAAGCCCCGGCUAAAUACGUGCCAGCAGCCGCGGUAAUACGUAUGGGGCGAGCGUUGUCCGGAAUUAUUGGGCGUAAAGGGUACGUAGGCGGUCUAUUAAGUCAGGUGUGAAAGCGUGAGGCUUAACCUCAUUAAGCACUUGAAACUGAUAGACUUGAGUGAAGGAGAGGAAAGUUGAAUUCCUAGUGUAGCGGUGAAAUGCGUAGAUAUUAGGAGGAAUACCGGUGGCGAAGGCGACUUUCUGGACUUUUACUGACGCUCAGGUACGAAAGCGUGGGGAGCAAACAGG
rnacentral:rRNA from 1 species